rnacentral:rRNA from 1 species
CCUACGUGAGGCAGCAGUGAGGAAUAUUGGUCAAUGGGCGCGAGCCUGAACCAGCCAAGUCGCGUGAGGGAAGACGGUCCUAUGGAUUGUAAACCUCUUUUGUCGGGGAGCAAAAGACGCCACGCGUGGCGUUCCGAGAGUACCCGAAGAAAAAGCAUCGGCUACUCCGUGCCACCAGCCGCGGUAAUACGGAGGAUGCGGGCGUUAUCCGGUUUUAUUGGGUUUAAAGGGUGCGAAGGCGGAAGAUCAAGGCAGUGGUAAAAUUGAGAGGGUAAACCUCUUCGAGCCGUUGAAACUGGUUUUCUUGAGUGAGUGAGAGGUAUGCGGAAUGCGUGGUGUAGCGGUGAAAUGCAUAGAUAUCACGCAGAACUCCGAUUGCGAAGGCAGCAUACCGGCGCUCAACUGACGCUCAUGCACGAAAGUGUGGGUAUCGAACAGGAUUAGAUACCCGAGUAGUC